rnacentral:lncRNA from 1 species
GCACUGCCAAGAUCACAAGAAUGUGACUGUUUUUAUGAUGAUCAAUGACUCUGACCUCCACAAAGGAUUCCUCUGUGAGUGAGGGAUCAGAUGGCAGCCUGUGGACAGCUGGCAUUCCUCAGCGUAUUGGUCAGACGACACUCCCUCCUCCGAGAAUGGCAGGGUUCCCUCAGUGGAGGAGGCGAGCUGAUUGGGUCAGCUGGGAGCUAAGUGAGGUCACAGGGAGGGGCCCCUACCCUGUAUAAUUGUAUCUUUAUAAGGAGUGAAAGAGACACCAUCUACGGCUUCGCUCCUGGGGAGCCAGAAGCAUGGAAUCAGAUGCCAAGAGGAUUAGGCCACCAACUUUGGCGUGUGCUCUUCGGGCCUGCCGUCUAACAGAAUGAGGGUUCCAGCGGUGUUCGCAUCAUCAGACGUCUAGUGUUCUGCACAUAAAACAAGCUCUUGAGGUCAGGAGACAACAUGCAAUCUAGCAGGCAGGUAGCUCGUGAAGCGUCUCAUCUCCCAGCAUAACAAGUGCUUCUCCAUCCAUAUGUACAGAAUUCCACUCUCCAGGUGGGAACGUUGUGAUGGAAUACGCUCUGAGAGAUAGAGGAGGCGACUUCUGCCAGGAGUGAUCAGGAGGACUUCUUGGAGGAGGCAGCACUUGAGCUGGUCUUGAAAGAUGAUGAGAUUUUAAUGGGAAAAGAGAUGAUCGAGAAGAACCUUCUAGCAGGAGGGAGCUGCCCUAGCAAAGACAGGAAGGCUGGAAAAUGCGAGAAGUGGGACAGGAAGAUCAACACAGGACCUCUCCCUUCUGAGCCAAACUGACACCUACCUCUUGCCAUGACAGGCCGCUCUUCUGGAGAUUAUAAACUAUUUAUUUUUAACAGAGAAACUGCCUUAGUUGGAGUUCUGGCUCUGCCACUUACUUAGGUAAGAAAGAACUUCUUGGGCCUCAGGCCCUCACCUGUAAAAGGGGCUGAAUAAUAGGAUUGUGCCUCUCUCCAAUGGGCUGUUAGAGGUUGGACUGCAUGCCCCCAAUACUCUUAUGCUGAGGCCUAACCCGGUGUGACUGCACAUGGAGACAGGGUGUGUAGGGAGGGGAUGAAGCUUAAGUGAGGCCACAGGGGAGGCCCAACCCUGUAGAGUCGUGUCUUUAUAAGGAGUGAAAGAGACACCAUUGCUUGCUUCUCUCCUGUGGGCAGAGGAAAGGCCAGGUGAGGACACAGGCAGGAGGUGCCCCCGCAGCCUCAGGCAGAGCCCUCACCACGCCAGCCCUGCUGACGCCUUGAUCUUGGACUCCCAGGCGUCUGCUGCAUAAGCCACCCCGUCCGACGUACUUUCCCAUGGCAGCUUGAGCAGAAUGAGACUGGGGCUUUGGAAGAAGGAACUUCACAUGUGAGGAGCUUGGAGAGUGGGACGUGCCAUGUGUGCACAUGUGCUGCUGGUGGGUCAUCAGAGCCUGAACAAGUCCUCCCGCAAUGACCUACCAGGUGGUGCCAGGCCUGUAGCAGGUACCCUGGAUCGGAUCGGCUGCUCUGCUCCACGAGGCUCCCAGCACCAUCUCAGCAGGUCGGCGCUGCCUCAGGUCUGAAAUGAUGUCUUCUCUUUCCUGUUUUCUGAGCAGCUCAUUCUGCUGCCCGUCAAAUAGGCCCUUUCCCCAGGACCCUUGGGGUCCAGCUGAGUGGAGCAGCCUCCCACACUGGAAGCCUUGAGUUUUCCCCACCUGGGCCUUUCUCUCUGUCCCUGACAUCCGGUUGGUCACCAGAUCCUGGCAGUUGAAAGUCAUUCUCAAGUCCAGCCCCACCACUGCACCUCGGUCCAUGCUCCUGGACACCAGUCUCUCACCGAGCGCUAUGCGUGGCUUGCGUCUGCGGCUGAGAAAUCCUUUCAAACGCACGCCUUCCCUAUUAUAUCCAGCAUAGGAUCUGACCCGGCAGGACCUCAGUAAAGACUUGUGGCUGCUUUAAGAGUGGGCACCUGCCGUCACAUUUUCCUCAGCAUUUUCCCUAUGCUGCUGGCGCAUUGGGUAGCUCUACUCAACCCAUGACGGAUUGCAGAUCUUUUGGCCGCUGCAUUCACAAAUUUGUCCCGAGCCGCUCCAUGGAAGGCAUCCCAGAAGCCUAUCAAUCUUCCCAUGAGUGUUCAAGAUUCCCAAAUCCCCAAAAGGCCCUAAUACCAUCUCUGUGUGAGCAGCUGCCCAUGUGUUGGGGAGUGCCCUGCCUGAGGCAGAGGGCGCACUGCAUCUGUUUGGAGGUGGGUGAGCCUCACGUGUUCUGCACAGGGCAUGAGGUAGGCAUUGGAGAGCAGCCCUGGCCCCCCCACCCAGGGGACAGUAGGUGGGGUUCUAAAUUAUGAGUCAUUAAUCAGCUCUUCAUAUGUCUGAAUUAUUCAUAAAGUAAGUGCUUGUGGUUUGGAUGCUAGUCUAUGAAUAUAUAGGCAAAUUAUUUAUUAUGGCAUUUACAUGGAUUUUGCAAAAAAGUUUUCCAGAAACCCUUUAGGUUCAGUGGUUGAAUUUAACAAAUAUUUCCUGUGCACCUACUCUAUGACAGAAAUUGUGAUUGGCGUUAAAGACAUAAAGAUGAAUAGGAUAAUAAGCACCUGCCUUCAGUGUGCUCUGGGUUAGCAGGGAGAACACACAAUCCAGCUGGUCCACAGAGGCUGACUUAUUAACAACAUUUAUCACAGCAUGUGGGAAAUAUGAGCUAACUGUAUUUCAGAUAGUAACAUGACCACGCCAAAACCAAACCAAAUCAAAACAAGGCAAGAAACCAAACCAACAAACCAACCCCACCACCACAACAGAAACUAACCCAAGUAACAUUGAACACGGAACCUUGACCUAUAACCCUUGUCCUGCAGACAAAAUACCUGCAAACAAAUAUUGAACUUGACUUGUGGGUUUGCUUUCACUGUGGUGCAAGGUAGCAAUUCUGUAAUGAUUUUCUGUCUUGUAGGGUUGAGCAAAUACAAGAUUCCACCAGUGCUGUUGGAAGCCAGCGUUCUUGUUUUUGGAAAGGGGACAUUUUCUUUCUUUCUCUUAUUUUUUUCCCUCCCUCCCUCCCUCCCUCCCUCCCUCCCUCCCUUCCUUCCUUUCCGUCAAAGCACUUACAAUCUUCUCACAUACUAUACAAUUUACUUAUUUAUUGUGUUCCCCAUUUGGUGUCUGUCUUCCCCCCGGGGGCAGGGCUCUUUGCUGCUUCAUCCAAUAUGUGUUCACGAUCUGAGUGCCUGCAAUAGUAGGCAUGUGCUUAUCUAGUGAAUGAUGGGCAAUGGUGGUGGAGAUGCAGAUUAGGACCAGGUCAUGGGGAGUACUGGAUUACGAAAGUGAACACAUUUGGAUUUCAGCCUGUUGGAAAAUGAGAUGAUGCUGGAAGUGGUGAAGGGGCUGCAACAUGAUGAGAG